GUAGUCCACGCCGUAAACGAUGUCGAUUUGGAGGUUGUGCCCUUGAGGCGUGGCUUCCGGAGCUAACGCGUUAAAUCGACCGCCUGGGGAGUACGGCCGCAAGGUUAAAACUCAAAUGAAUUGACGGGGGCCCGCACAAGCGGUGGAGCAUGUGGUUUAAUUCGAUGCAACGCGAAGAACCUUACCUGGUCUUGACAUCCACAGAACUUUCCAGAGAUGGAUUGGUGCCUUCGGGAACUGUGAGACAGGUGCUGCAUGGCUGUCGUCAGCUCGUGUUGUGAAAUGUUGGGUUAAGUCCCGCAACGAGCGCAACCCUUAUCCUUUGUUGCCAGCGGUUAGGCCGGGAACUCAAAGGAGACUGCCAGUGAUAAACUGGA
rnacentral:rRNA from 1 species